CUGGGCGGGGGCGGGGCGGGGCGGGCGGAGCGGGCGCUGCCAUGGACGCGCUGUGCCGGGCCGAGCCCCGGUCCCGCCGGCCCGCAGCCGCCUCCGCCUCCCCGCUGCCCUGGGCUCGCUUCUCCGCCUGGCUCGACUGUGUCUGCGUGGUCACCUUCGACCUGGAGCUGGGCCAGGCCAUGGAGUUGGUAUAUCCUUAUGACUUUAGGCUAACAGAGAAAGAGAAAACUAGUAUCUGCUACUUGUCCUUCCCGGACUCCUACUCAGGUGGCCUGGGGGAUACUCAAUUUAGCUUCCGCCUUCGUCAGUCUGGGGGCCAGAGGACCACUCAUUAUGAGGAUGAUGGCGAGUACAAUAGAGAAGCACCCCUAACGCUGCAGCGGGAGUCAGCUCAUUAUUUUGGUUAUGUAUACUUCAGGCAAGUCAAGGACAGCUCGAUGAAGAGAGGUUAUUUUCAGAAGUCUUUGGUGCUGGUCUCACGCCUUCCAUAUGUGAACUUGUUCCAGUCAUUGCUGCAGCUGAUUGCUCCGGAAUACUUUGACAAGCUGGAGCCAUGCCUGGAGGCAGUGUGCAAUGAGAUUGAUCAGUGGCCGCCUCCUGUGCCAGGACAGACUCUGAACCUUCCAGUGAUGGGAGUUGUCAUUCAGGUGAGAAUCCCAUCAAGGGUGGAUAAACCAGGAUCAAGCCCAGUGAAGCAGUUUAAUCAAGAGAAUCUGUUACCAGCCCCACUGGUUCUCCCCAGUAUUCAUGAACUGGAUCUCUUCAGGUGUUUCCAGCCAGUGUUAAUUCAUAUCCAGAUGUUGUGGGAGCUGAUGUUACUAGGAGAGCCUAUUGUUGUAAUGGCACCAUCCCCUACAGUUUCUUCAGAAAUGGUUCUGGCACUUACCAGCUGCCUUGCUCCUCUGAGGUACUGUUGUGACUACCGCCCCUAUUUUACUAUCCACGACAGUGAAUUUAAAGAGUAUACCACCAGGACACAAGCUCCACCAAACAUUGUUGUGGGAGUCACAAACCCUUUCUUUAUCAAAACUCUCCAGCACUGGCCACACAUUCUUCGGGUUGGGGAGCUCAGAAUGUCAGGAGAUCUGCCCAAGCAAGUUAAGGUGAAGAAGCUAGCUAAACUAAAAACUCUAGACACGAAACCAGGAAUCUAUACUUCCUAUAAAACAUUCCUUCACAAAGACAAAACCCUGAUAAAAAGAUUGCUAAAGGGGAUUCAGCGGAAACGCCCAUCUGAAGUCCAAAGUGCCCUUUUGAGGCGUCACCUCCUGGAGCUCACCCAGAGUUUCAUUAUUCCCUUGGAACAUUAUAUUGCAAGUCUGAUGCCUCUGCAGAGGGCCAUUACUCCAUGGAAGAAUCCUCCACAGAUUCGUCCUUUCCGACAGGAAGAUUUCAUGAAGACCCUUGAGCAUGCUGGUCCCCAACUUACCUGUGUACUCAAGGGUGACUGGUUAGGCCUCUACAGGCGUUUCUUCAAGUCCCCCAACUUUGAUGGCUGGUACCGUCAGAGGCACAAGGAAAUGACCCAGAAGCUGGAGGCCCUUCAUUUGGAGGCAAUCUGUGAAGCGGCCCUUCCCAAGCCAACAGAGUGCCAGACUGGAAGUGUCAUCUGUUGCUGGCUUCCUUAAUGCCUAAUGAAAAUAGAACAUUGUGGCCUGGAUGAAGGACAAGUCUGAAGUGGAGAUUGUAGACCUGGUGUUAAAGCUUCGUGAGAAGCUGGUAAGAGCCAGGUGCCAGCACCUCCCUGUGAAGGAGGAAACUCUGCAGCGGGUGGGCCUGUAUAUUGAGACCAUCAUCGGCUCCUUGCCAGAGGAUCUCCAGACUGUGCUGCACCACCACUGAGCACGGUGAAGGGACUCUGUUGGAGAAGGAAGGGCCCUCCCACCCUGCUCCGAGCUGUGGGCAGCUGCAGUUGCGUUUGGAAAGGAAUGUUCUUCUCUGAUCCAGCCAGCGUGACCUGAUCUGGACCUUGCUCGCAACUGUGUUUGAUCCUGAGCACGUGAGCAUGUGGGUCAGAACUGUAGCAGAAAUGGGGAACUGUGUGCACUAUUCUCUGUCUAGUCCUGCUUUGAGGAGCUGGAUUAGGGGACUGUAAAUGAGAAACUGUUCCCCGUGUGGCUGUUAGUAGGUCAGAAAGUGACAGCCAGGCUUCCAGCAGCAUGUGAUAGGCUGUGCAAAACCUGUGUUGCCCAUCUAUACACAUCCAUCUUUGUCUAGUGCUCAGGCUCUCAAAAUUUCAAUGCCGUCAUCCUGCCUGGAAGAACCGGGACCAGCCCUGUAGGGGGGAGUUGUUUCCAGGACAGCUCCUGACGAUGAUGAGAGAGAUGCUAGUCCCCCCCAUCCCCCCCACGCAAAUGAUGUGAAAAAAUUGUCACUGCCCAUUCAGCAGCCUGACUCAUGCCUGCAAGAGCUUCAGCUGUGAUGGGAGUGGGAGGAUUAAUUGCUGGAUGUAGAAUGCUGCUGUUUUUUCUCCAAGGCAGAAACAGAAGAAGGGGCUGGUGCAUCUGCAAGGAACAGAGCUCUCCAGAGAUCAUGGUGGAGUGCUGUGUGAAUGGCAAUAGCUACUGGAGCUCCACAGAGAGGAGCUGGCCUCCAAAUGUAAUUUAUUCUGCUUGAAAAAUCAAGUUUGUGUGCUCUAAUAACAUACAAGAGAGCUGGAGCUCUGCCUUGGGCAAUGAGAGAUCUAAUGUGGUCAGCCCACUUGCCGAUAAAACACGUUGGAGAAUGUGAUUUUUACAGCCUGCGUGAGCCUUGCCAAGGGGGAACUUGCAGAGUGGCCCUUGCGUGGGUCCCACUGUGAGAAGUGCGUGCUCGCCCUGUGCUGAUGUCAGUGGGGAGCAACCUCCAGCUCUCACCGCAACUUGUUCUUACCACAACCCAGCUUCCAGCUCGGUCAUUCUGCUCCCGUUCACCUCUUGGGAAAGAGAGAGAUGUGCGUGUGUGUCUGGGCUGAAUGUAGGAAAGACUUGAGGCUCUGCUACCAGCUUUGGGGGCAGUUGCCCUCUGCCCGAGAGCGCCGUCUUUCUGCCAGCUGCCUUGGAAAUGGAUUUGCUGUAACCCUGGGGUUGAUUGCUGCUACUGUAACUGCAUUUCACCAUCUGCCAGUCCAGCCAGGGCCUGAAUGUUUGCCUUAAGAAUGGGUUUUUGGAUGGGUCUGGCAGCCUGAUGCACUCCUCUUCUGUAAGAAGCCCCAGAGUGUACCUUUGCACGCAGCAGGAGAGUUCGGCAUUUCAGCCGAGACCUGCACAGAGCUGUUGGCAGUGCCCUGUGCUCACGAGGUGGAAGGUGUGCUGUUUCACUAGCAGUCUCUGCCUGUUGCUCCACUGCGUCGGGGCUGGGGAGAUGUCAGUGUGUCUCAGAGGUGGCUGAACCCUUCCUGCAUUUUCUCCUACAGAGCCAGACACGGACAGUGCAGGAACAGCGAGCAGGAGGCUGCUCGGUUUCCCACCACCUCCAGCCUGGAAGCAACCAAGCGAGGAGACAUGCCAUAUCUCCCUGUAGUAACAAAUUCUGUACAAUACUCCUUAGUGGCAGCCCUGCCUGUACAGUGUAUAUUCUGUAUAUAGAGUUCAUGUGUGCGUCCGUGCAAUAGCUCUGCAGUGACUGUGGUGGACUGAAGCACUAAUGUAUAGUAGAAAAUACUAGUUUAAAAAAAAAAAAAAAAAUUAAGCCAA